rnacentral:rRNA from 1 species
GACGAACGCUGGCGGCGCGCUUAACACAUGCAAGUCGAGCGAGAACCUGGGCUUCGGCCCUGGGGACAGCGGCGAACGGGUGAGUAACACGUGGGUAAUCUGCCCUUGACAUCGGGAUAGCCCGGGGAAACCCGGAUUAAUACCGAAUAGCCUCCGGAGCCUUCGGGCGCCGGAGAAAAGGUAGCUUCGGCCUCUGGUCGAGGAUGAGCCCGCGGCGGAUUAGCUUGUUGGCGGGGUAACGGCCCACGAAGGCGACGAUCCGUAGCUGGUCUGAGAGGACGAUCAGCCACACUGGGACUGAGACACGGCCCAGACUCCUACGGGAGGCAGCAGUGGGGAAUCUUGCGCCAAUGCGGGAAACCGUGACGCAGCGACGCCGCGUGGGGGAAGAAGGCCUUCGGGUUGUAAACCUCUUUCAGGAGGGACGAAGCCACUCGGGUGAAUAGCCCAGAGGGUGACGGUACCUCCAGAAGAAGCCCCGGCUAACUACGUGCCAGCAGCCGCGGUAA